AUUGAACGCUAGCGGGAUGCCUUACACAUGCAAGUCGAACGGAGUGGCGAACGGGUGAGUAAGGUAUCGGAACGUGCCCAGUAGCGGGGGAUAACUACGCGAAAGGGUAGCUAAUAUCACAUCCUAUUGGAGCGGCCGUUAUCGGAUUAGCUAGUUGGGGGGGUAACGGCUCACCAAGGCGCCUAUCCAGAGCUGGUUUGAGAGGACGACCGGCCACACUGGGACUGAGACACGGCCCAGACUCCUACGGGAGGCAGCAGUGGGGAAUUUUGGACAAUGGGGGAAACCCUGAUCCAGCCAUCCCGCGUGUGCGAUGAAGGCCUUCGGGUUGUAAAGCACUUUUGGCAGGAAAGCGGUACCUGCAGAAUAAGCACCGGCUAACUACGUGCCAGCAGCCGCGGUAAUAC
rnacentral:rRNA from 1 species